ensembl:lncRNA
AUGCAUCUUCUUCAUCCUGGGAAGAAGUCACGAGUGGAGUGCAACAGGGUUCCAUACUGGGCCUGGUUCUGUUCAACAUCUUUAUUAAUGACUUAUGUGGAGUUUCAGGGCCAGAAAAGCAGAUGGAGGAGGCAAAAGAAUGGUUUACCCCAAGGCAGCGUUCUUGCACCGACCUUAUUUAAUAUCUUCACGAACGAUCAGCCACAACCACCACUCACAAAGAGCUUUAUAUAUGCUGAUGACCUUGGCCUUACAACACAAGCAAAAGAUUUUGCAACAGUUGAAAAGCAACUCACCAAUGCCUUGAAAGAUCUCUCUAGCUACUACAAGGAGAACCACCUGAAGCCUAAUCCUUCCAAGACACAAGUGUGUGCUUUCCACCUACGUAACCGCGAAGCCAACAGGAAACUGAAAGUUACUUGGGAAGGCCAAGAGCUCGAACACUGUUUCCAUCCUAAAUACCUUGGUGUCACCUUAGACCGAACACUAACAUAUAGGAAACACUGCAUGAACACCAAGCACAAAGUAGCUGCAUGCAAUAACAUCCUGCGGAAACUGACUGGCAGCUCAUGGGGUGCAGACCCACAAGUAAUAAGAACAUCAGCCCUGGCCUUGUCUUUCUCAACUGCUGAGUAUGCCUGUCCUGUUUGGCACAAGUCUGCCCAUGCAAAGCAGGUGGACAUAGCACUGAAUGAAACAUGCAGAAUCAUCACGGGAUGCCUUAAACCUACACCUGUUGAUAAACUCUACAAGUUAGCUGGCAUUGCCCCCCCUGACGUGCGAUGGGAAGUUGCUGCUAACGGUGAGAGAAAAAAGGUCGAACAUUGUGAAAGCCACCCACUGCAUGGCUAUCACCCUCCUCCCACCAGACUCAAAUCAAGGAAGGGCUUCAUGAGAACCACCACUCCUCUUGAUGUUCCUCCAGCAGCAGCAAGGUUGUCUCUCUGGGCAGCUAAACCUGGCAAUUCUAACUGGAUGGCCCCCCACGAGGGUCUUCCUCCAGGGGCAAACCAAGAAUGGGCAACUUGGAAGUCCCUGAACAGACUCAGAAGUGGAGUGGGCAGAUCAAAAGACAAUUUGGCAAGGUGGCACUACCUGGAGGAAUCCUCCACCUCGUGUGACUGUGGAGCUGAACAAACAACUCAGCAUAUGUAUGCUUGCCCACAAUGCCCUGCCUCAUGUACGGAGGAGGAGUUGUUUAAAGCUACAGACAAUGCGGUUGCUGUUGCCCGCUUUUGGUCCAAAACUAUUUAG